CCGCCCCUCCUCUAUCUGCUCUAUGCCCUUCCUCCUCUUCCCCGCCUCUAUCUCCUCCACCCUUUGCCUACUAUACCGAGUCUGUAACUUCCUCUCCUCUAACCCUCCAGCCCCUCUCUAGUUCCUCCUCCUUCAUCUCCUUUACCUCAAACCCCUUCAAUUUCCUCCUCCAGUUACUCUACUUCCUGUCUGCCUUCUCUACCUCCUCCGUCUAUUCUACCCCUCCUCGUCCUUUGCUCCUCCUGUCUCCUCCUCUCCUCUUCUCCAACUCUAUUCUCCUUUUCUGCUUCUCCCUUUGUCUUCUCAUCCUCUUCCUCUUUAAUCUCAUGUAUUCCUUUUCAUUUACCCUAAACUUCCUCUGUCAUCAACUUCCUCUGUUGUCAACUUCCUGUCAACUUCCUCUGUCAUCGACUUCCUCUGUCGUCAACUUCCUCUGUCAUCGACUUCCUCUGUUGUUGACUUCCCUUUGCCUGCCAUCUUUCUCUCCUCAGCCUCUCUCCCUCUGUCCCCUUCCCACCUCCCCUACUCCAUCUUUUUCCUCUGUCUUCUCUAUUCCUUCUUCUGCUUCCUCUCCCAUGUCUCCCUCUUCCUUCCCCUCCUUUAUCUCCUCUCCCUUUCUCUUCCUGCCUCCCUCCAUCUCCCGUCCUUGUACCUCACCCCUCCAUUUCCUCUGCCUCCUUCUCUUACUUUUGCUUGUUUCCAGCCAACCUUCUCCUGCCCAGCUCCUGCUCCUCCUUCCCAGCCUUCCUCCACUGUGCUCCUCCUCCGUCCCCUGGCUCCGUUUUCUCGUCUCUCUUCUAGGCCUCCCUCCUACGGCUCCUUCCUCCUGUGCUCACACAUCAUCCUGCUCUUCAUUCUCUGACUUUCUUUCCUCUUUUCUCCUGUCCCCCUUUUCCUCCCUCUAAUGUCUCCUAUUUUAUCAGCUUCCUUUUCUACUGUCCCCUUCCACUGGCUCCUUCCCCUGCCCUCCAUUUCCUCACUGGCCUUUUUCCUACCCACACAAACUCCUGUUUUCCUUUCAUCUCCUUUUCUUCUCCCCUCUUCCUGCCAUGUUCCAUCCUUCUCCCUGGUCUUCCCCCUUCCUCUGCUUUCCUCCUUACCCCUGUUCUUCCUGGGAGCCUCUGCAUCCUUGCUGCCUCCGCCAUGGCUCCUCUGCUCUCCUCCCUGCUCGCACCUGCUCUUGAUCCCAGUCCCUUCCUCCUAUGCCUCCUUUUGUCCUCCCUCUUCCUCCUUUGCUACACCCUCCUCCUCUUCCUCCUUUGUCCUCCCUUCUCUCCUACUUACCCUGUCUCCAGCUCAGUAACCUUCUUCCCCACCACCACCUCCCAAUCCCUGCUUCACUUUCUUCCCACCUCUCCCUCCCCCUCCCCCUUUCCUAUGGCACCUUUGCUCUUUUUUAAAUCUGUCUCCCUCUCCCUCCUCUCCCUCCCCCUUUCCUAUGGCACCUUCGCUCUUUUUUAAAUCUGUCUCCCUCUCUCUGUACCUUACAUGCACUCUAGUGUCUCUUUUUUCUUUUGCUUUUUCAAGACAGGGUUUCUCUGUGUAACAUCUCUGGCUGUCCUGGAACUCGCUCUGUAGACCAGGCUGGCCUCAAUCUCAGAAACUCACCUGCCUCUGCUCCUGAGUGCUGGAUUAAAGUGCGCACCACCACCGGGCUCAUUUCUCCAUCACAACAUUCCUGUUCCACAGCUCCUCCUGCCUUGUCCUGAUGCCUCUUCUUACCUGUCUUCAACCUCCUCCCUUCCCGCUGGACUUCCCUGCCACCCGUGCAGGUUCCUAGCCUCUGAGGAUGUGAGGGCGGGAUACCCAGUGCCUGAUGUCCUCCUGAGUCCCUCCACACAGUCCUGCUGGCUCUGGGUCCCCUAAGGAAUGCAGUCAAGGGAGUUCAGUGCGCCCAGCUCCCCUCACCUCUACCUGCCAUGUCUUCCCUGCUCUUUUCUUUACUCCCACCUCCUGCCCCUCCCUACACCUCCCAUUUCCCCUUUCUGGGACUCUCUGCCCUUGCCCUCACUGUUCUUUCUGGAAUCUGCUUUUGUUCUGUUCCCUAUCACGACCACUUUCUUUCUUCCUCCAUUUUCUUACAACCCGGGCUCUCCCAACACUGUAACAUCAUCAGCACACCCUGGUAUUUAUUCCUCCCUCAUCUAAACUUCUGUUACCCCAUCUCCCUUGGCAUCGCUGCUGUUUAUCUUCCUUGGCCACUUCCCUGCCGUUCCUGUCUUUGCUUUUCGGUCUCUCCUACUCGCCUACCCACUGCUUCAUGGUGCCGGUCAGCCGGUCACUCUCCCUCUCCUUCCUGGCUCACCCCGUAGGGUGCUCCCCGUGGUGCUCUACUCAGUCCCUCAACUCCCAUGGUCCUCCUGGUUUUUCCUCCUCUUUCUCGCACUCUGCCUAUCAUCCCCAGCGUGUGUGUGCACGCACGCACCUUGCGUAGGCUAGAGAUCAACAUUAGGCACCACCCGUCUAAGUUUUUGCUGCUUGUAUAUGCACAUGUAUUUACGGUGUGUCACCUGUGAGCACCUGUGUGUGCAGCUAACAAGUCAGCAUUUGCUGUCUGCUCUGUGAUUCUCAACCUUAUUUUAUUUAUUGGUGUGGGGUUUUUGGUUUUGUUUCUUUGGUUUUGAAGUUUUUGUUUGUUUUGUUUUUGGUUUGUUGAUUUUUUGAGGCAGGUUUCUCUGUGUAGCCUGACUUACCUGGAACUCACUCUGUAGACCAGGCUGGCCUUGAACUCAGCAAUCCGCCUGCCUCUACCUCCCAAGUGCUGGGAUUAAAGGUGUGUGACAUCACUGCCAGGUUCUCCACCUUAAUCUUUGAGAUAAGGUCUUCUGUUGAACUUCCAACUUGCUGAUACGGUGAGGCUGGCCAGCCAGCAAGUCCUGGGAUCCACUGCCUACCUCCCCAGCACCAGGGUUCCAGGCACAUGCCAAGCUAUCCUGUGAGUGCUGGGACUCACACCUGGGUUCCUGCUGCACAGCAAGCACCCACCAAUAGGCCUGUCUCCCUGCCCUACCCAUUUGUCUCUUCUUCCUCCUGUUCUUUGAUCUCUCUUUCUCCUCUUCACUCACUCUCUCCUUCUCCUCAACCCCUGUAAGUGGGCUCCUUUCCAGCUGAGUUCCAGCCCCCUGCUCUGGUGCUGUGAGGAUCCCCCAGGCUCUGGGAGGGAGGUGGGUCACAGUGGCCACAAAAUGUCAUGGUAGGAGGCUGAUUACCUGAAGCAUGGCUACCAUGCCAGAUACAGGUGUGGGGCAGGCUCUCUGUGACACUUUCUUUUUUCUAUCUGUCCUGGAUGCUGGACAUUCCAUGGAGGAAUCAAACCCUGAAGGCAAGAAGCAAGGAAAUCAUCUCAGAGAGGAAAGAGCUGCCCACAGACACAGCGUGCCCUUCUCCCUCUCCAGGCAUCAGCAAUGGAAGGCCUCAGCUGACUGCAGUUUUCCAGAUGAGAACAUGUGCACCAUCUGCAGGACACAGGACCAGCAGCGGCUAGGAAAGAGGUUUCUUAGGACCCACCAGCCUGAAGGACCAACACGACACGCCCAGCCCAGCCCAGAUCCAGAUCUGUGUGUGUGUGUGUGUGUGUGUGUGUGUGUACGCACGCGCACACGCAAUGGGACUGUCUGCAACCAAGUUGUAUUAGGCACUGAAAUUUGUCCCCAAUAAAGGACAGUUGGGGUGAGGAAAGCUGUAGGGGGAUAUGGAAAAUCCUGUAAAAAUGAGUAUUUUUGCUCCUAAUAGAGAAAUAUCCACAAACAA